rnacentral:rRNA from 1 species
CGGACGGGUGAGUAAUGUCUGGGAAACUGCCUGAUGGAGGGGGAUAACUACUGGAAACGGUAGCUAAUACCGCAUAACGUCGCAAGACCAAAGAGGGGGACCUUCGGGCCUCUUGCCAUCGGAUGUGCCCAGAUGGGAUUAGCUAGUAGGUGGGGUAACGGCUCACCUAGGCGACGAUCCCUAGCUGGUCUGAGAGGAUGACCAGCCACACUGAACUGAGACACGGUCCAG